UUGGAGGGCAAGUCUGGUGCCAGCAGCCGCGGUAAUUCCAGCUCCAAUAGCGUAUAUUAAAGUUGUUGCAGUUAAAAAGCUCGUAGUUGAAUCUCGGGGUUAGUAGGUUGGUCAUGCCUCUGGUAUGUACUGGUCUCACUGAUUCCUCCUUCCUGAUGAGCCGUAAUGCCAUUAAUUUGGUGUUGCGGGGAAUUUGGACUGUUACUUUGAAAAAAUUAGAGUGUUUAAAGCAAGCUAACGCUUGAAUACAUUAGCAUGGAAUAAUGAAAUAGGACGUUCGAUCCUAUUUUGUUGGUUUCUAGGAUUGACGUAAUGAUUAAUAGGGAUAGUUGGGGGCAUUAGUAUUCAAUUGUCAGAGGUGAAAUUCUUGGAUUUAUUGAAGACUAACUACUGCGAAAGCAUUUGCCAAGGAUGUUUUCAUUAAUCAAGAACGAAAGUUAGGGGAUCGAAGACGAUCAGAUACCGUCGUAGUCUUAACCAUAAACUAUGCCGACUAGGGAUCGGAUGAUGUUAAUUUUUUAAUGACUCAUUCGGCGCCUUACGGGAAAC
rnacentral:rRNA from 1 species